rnacentral:lncRNA from 1 species
AAGGUUGGAAAAGACCUCCAAGAUCAUCUGGUCCAACCAUCCCCCUGCUACCAAUGUCACCCUCUAACCCACAUCCCUACACGCCAGGCCCAGCCUUUUCUUGAACACCCCCAUGGAUGGUGAUGCCACCACUUCCCUGGGCAACCCGUUCCAAUGCCUGACCGCUCUUUCUGAGAAGAAAGAGUGAUACUCAUGGCUGCUGCGAGUUUACUACCCAUGACUUCCUGAGUGUUUCACAUUUUCUAUCUGUGGGUUCUUGUCUUUCUUUGUAUGUAGUCUCACGCAGCACAAAUUUCUUGAUAGGGAAUCACAAAAGGAAGAGUGGUCAUUUUUUCUUUGUUUUCUUCAAGUUUUCUUUGACACUCUGGUAUUUCCUAAAAGAACUUUGAUCAUUUGUAGUGUUAUGGCUGGUGCUGGAGUUUGAAGUAUGCUUGAGCAGAUCCUCGAAGUUUGUUCUUACUUAGUGUAGAAGAAGAUCCAUGUUAUAACUACACAAAACAUGUCAAGCAGUAGUUUUGCUUAGAGGAAGAUACCGGAUAAGAAUAUAUUACUUGUGUAAGUUCAAAUACGAAUACUUUGGUUUUUAUAACUUGAAGAUAUAGGGACAGUAUGGGUUGAUCCUUGCUACUUUUGUCUAAAUGUAUCAGAGAUCAGUGGCUGUAUUGCUUAGCAAUUCUAGGAUGCUGAAUGUUUAGAUCUGUAAGUGGCAAAUUUAGAACAAAAUGCUUGAUUUAGUGCUUUGUUUUUUCUUUCCUAACUGCUUUUUGUAGAGCAAAUGUCUCAUCUGAACAAGUACCGAGAAGCUCACAUCAAGUACGCCGAGGAUAAAGCUUGAUCCCAUUGCGAUGCAGAUGUCUAAGCCUGGAGGAGAGCUGGAAGAGAAGUAAUUUGCACCUGAAGGGGCUACCCAGCCCUGGGAGCAGAGUUAGCUGAAUGGCCCCGACCUGCGCUGCUGUCUGUCAGAAAGAGACCAGAGGCAAAAACAAAUGGGAGCUUUUUUCACCUACACGACAACAGCAACAGAAAGGAGAGGGCAAAACAAAGCCCCAGCAAUCUUCCUCUGGGUGAGGGGGGAGCACAGAAUUUUUCCUUAGAAGUCAUUGCUGAUCUAACAGGCUCCCUUUACCACAAGGAAUCUUCAGCUAGGAAUAAUGUCAGAGAGGAGCAUGCGGUAAAUGACAGUGACUUCCAAGUCUUCAAGCAAUGAAAGGUCAGUCUGUUGUUCAUUUUGAAGAGUUUCUAGCAUCCUUAGAAUUACAGAAUUUGUCAGAUGGAUUGCUCUCCAUAAAGGUAGAUGUUAUGUGCCCA